CAGUUUGUUAUAACGUGGUUUCUUCCUCAGCUCAGAAAUUCCAGGUGUCCGCCCAGUGACAACAAUUUGGCAACGAAGCACCAGGCUGAAAAGCGAUCGUUAAAGAGAGAGAGAGAUGAUGGCGGUGUUCAGCACAGAAUCGGGCCUGUGUUUUGUAGAAGCUAUGAAGAGCACUUUGCACAAUAAGCCAGCGGAAUCGAAGAAAGCAAACAACACACAACACUUUUUCUGUCUAUGCUCAGAAAUUCCAGAUGUCCACCCAGCCACGACACUACUGUAGUUCCAUUUUGACAACUAUGAUGCAGUUCUGUCUUUUGUGCUUGUUAACAACAAUCACUGGAACUUGCUGAAGGUUGAUCUGAAAAAGAGACCUCAGUCUGGGAAUUCCUCCACAUCUAAGAGUACAUCCCCUACCCUGACUCCAUCGCCAUCCCCAACUCCUAAGCCUCUAAUUGGUGAAACCCUGUCUUCUGCUUCUUCCCAACCAUGUUCUAAAAGUAGUGGUGGCUCCAGCAGUGGCAGCAUCACUGAUGAAGACACAUACCUGGAGGACUGAGGGAGUAUCUGACGAUUCUCCCAGCAAAUCCACAGCUUCUGCAAUAAAUUAGUUUAAUUCCAGGCAUCCUGAUGAACUCCACCUCCCCAUCAGGAUCCACACGCUGCCAUCUAUUCAGAGGGGCUUCUUGAUUGCCAUCCUCUUCGUCCCGCCUCCUCCUUAUGCCCUGGUGUGGGACAGGAG